rnacentral:tRNA from 1 species
GGUCCUGUAGCUCAGCGGUUAGAGCAGGGGACUCAUAAUCCCUUGGUUGGGGGUUCGAAUCCCUCCGGGACUA